rnacentral:antisense_RNA from 1 species
CAGAGAAUUGAUACAAAAAAUGAUCAUGUGAAGAAUUUGCAUCUUCUGCAGAACUACCGGUAUCAGUCAGCAGUAGAUUGUAUAAAUUCAGCCUGAGAUUCCAGAAUAUUCUGUAUAUUGACCCCCACAGCAAGAAGAAAAAGUCCACGUAGGACUGAAAUCUGUGGUACUUCUGUGGUGGCACUUCUUAGGCAAGUGAGAAGCAGCGACACCGUGACACCUGCACGCCGGAGCCCUGCGUUAGGCUGGGUGAGGGCUGGGACCUGGGCAUCACACAGUCUUAGAUGUGGGCCUGCCUCCAACAGCUCCCUCCUGGGUGUGAUGCUGAAGGGGGUCCUUGACACCUCUGAAGUCUCAGUCUCCUCAAGGUCACACCCAGUUUAUAGGAUUGUGCU